UACGUAGGGCGCAAGCGUUGUCCGGAAUUAUUGGGCGUAAAGAGCUCGUAGGCGGUUUGUCGCGUCUGCUGUGAAAUCCUAAGGCUCAACCUUGGGCUUGCAGUGGGUACGGGCAGACUAGAGUGCGGUAGGGGUGACUGGAAUUCCUGGUGUAGCGGUGGAAUGCGCAGAUAUCAGGGGGAACACCGAUGGCGAAGGCAGGUCACUGGGCCGCAACUGACGCUGAGGAGCGAAAGCAUGGGGAGCGAACAGG
rnacentral:rRNA from 1 species